UACGUAGGGUGCGAGCGUUAAUCGGAAUUACUGGGCGUAAAGCGUGCGCAGGCGGCGCGUUAAGACAGGUGUGAAAGCCCCGAGCUUAACUUGGGAAUUGCGCUUGUGACUGGCGUGCUGGAGUGUGGCAGAGGGAGGUGGAAUUCCACGUGUAGCAGUGAAAUGCGUAGAGAUGUGGAGGAACACCGAUGGCGAAGGCAGCCUCCUGGGCCAGCACUGACGCUCAUGCACGAAAGCGUGGGGAGCAGACAGG
rnacentral:rRNA from 1 species